rnacentral:rRNA from 1 species
UUGAUCCUGGCUCAGAAUCAACGCUGGCGGCGUGCCUAACACAUGCAAGUCGAACGAGAAAGUGGAGCAAUCCAUGAGUAAAGUGGCGACCGGGUGAGUUACACGUGACUAAUCUACCCUCGAGUGGGGAAUAACUCCGGGAAACCGGAUCUAAUACCGCAUAACAUCCCUGGGAAUGCGAAUUCCUGGGAUCAAAGGAUCAAUUCGCUUGAGGAGGAAGUCGCGGCUGAUUAGCUAGUUGGCGGGGUAUUGGCCCACCAAGGCUUAGAUCGGUAGCCGGCCUGAGAGGGCGCACGGCCUCACUGGAACUGAAACACGGUCCAGACUCCUACGGGAGGCAGCAGUGGGGUAUUUUGCGCAAUGGGGGAAACCCUGACGCAGCAACGCCGCGUGGAGGAUUAAGUCCCUUGGGAUGUAAACUCCUUUCGACCAAGACGAUAAUGACGGUAUUGGUGGAAGAAGCACCGGCUAACUCUGUGCCAGCAGCCGCGGUAAUAAGUU